AGAGUUUGAUCAUGGCUCAGGAUGAACGCUGGCGGCGUGCCUAACACAUGCAAGUCGAACGGAAGUGUUAAGUGGAAGUUUUCGGAUGGAAACUUAAGACUUUAGUGGCGGACGGGUGAGUAACGCGUGGGUAACCUGCCGUAUACAGGGGGAUAACACUUAGAAAUAGGUGCUAAUACCGCAUAAGCGCACGGUGUCGCAUGACACAGUGUGAAAAGCCUUGACGGUAUACGAUGGACCCGCGUCUGAUUAGCUAGUUGGUGAGGUAGAGGCUCACCAAGGCGACGAUCAGUAGCCGGCCUGAGAGGGUGACCGGCCACAUUGGGACUGAGACACGGCCCAAACUCCUACGGGAGGCAGCAGUGGGGAAUAUUGCACAAUGGGGGAAACCCUGAUGCAGCGACGCCGCGUGAGUGAAGAAGUAUCUCGGUAUGUAAAGCUCUAUCAGCAGGGAAGAAAAUGACGGUACCUGACUAAGAAGCCCCGGCUAACUACGUGCCAGCAGCCGCGGUAAUACGUAGGGGGCAAGCGUUAUCCGGAUUUACUGGGUGUAAAGGGAGCGUAGACGGUGAUGCAAGUCUGAAGUGAAAGCCCGGUGCUCAACGCCGGGACUGCUUUGGAAACUGUGUGACUAGAGUGCAGGAGAGGUAAGCGGAAUUCCUAGUGUAGCGGUGAAAUGCGUAGAUAUUAGGAGGAACACCAGUGGCGAAGGCGGCUUACUGGACUGUAACUGACGUUGAGGCUCGAAAGCGUGGGGAGCAAACAGGAUUAGAUACCCUGGUAGUCCACGCCGUAAACGAUGAUUACUAGGUGUCGGUUGGUAAGACCAAUCGGUGCCGCCGCAAACGCAAUAAGUAAUCCACCUGGGGAGUACGUUCGCAAGAAUGAAACUCAAAGGAAUUGACGGGGACCCGCACAAGCGGUGGAGCAUGUGGUUUAAUUCGAAGCAACGCGAAGAACCUUACCAAAUCUUGACAUCCCGAUGACCGGUACGUAAUGGUACCUUCUCUUCGGAGCAUUGGAGACAGGUGGUGCAUGGUUGUCGUCAGCUCGUGUCGUGAGAUGUUGGGUUAAGUCCCGCAACGAGCGCAACCCUUAUCUUUAGUAGCCAGCAGUAAGAUGGGAACUCUAGAGAGACUGCCGGGGAUAACCCGGAGGAAGGUGGGGAUGACGUCAAAUCAUCAUGCCCCUUAUGAUUUGGGCUACACACGUGCUACAAUGGCGUAAACAAAGGGAAGCGAUCACGUGAGUGUGAGCAAAUCCCAAAAAUAACGUCUCAGUUCGGAUUGUAGUCUGCAACUCGACUACAUGAAGCUGGAAUCGCUAGUAAUCGCGAAUCAGAAUGUCGCGGUGAAUACGUUCCCGGGUCUUGUACACACCGCCCGUCACACCAUGGGAGUCGUGAAUGCCCGAAGUCGGUGACCCAACCCCUAGUGAACAUGACAGCGUGAUAAUCGAACGAAGUUCGAUUAUAUCCGUAAAAAGAUAUACGGCACGAGGUCAGUCGUGUUCAGUAGGGGGAGGGAGCCGCCGAAGGCAGGCAUGAUAACUGGGGUGAAGUCGUAACAAGGUAGCCGUAUCGGAAGGUGCGGCUGGAUCACCUCCUU
rnacentral:rRNA from 1 species